ensembl:lncRNA
AGGUGGGGAAGACUGAGCAGGUGGGGAAGACUGAGCAGGUGGGGAAGACUGAGCAGGUGGGGAAGACUGAGCAGGUGGGGAAGACUGAGCAGGUGGGGAAGACGGAGCAGGUGGGUGCAGGUAGGGAAGACGGAGCAGGUGGGUGCAGGUAUGGAAGACGGUGCAGGUGGGGAAGACGGAGCAGGUGGGUGCAGGUGGGGAAGACGGAGCAGGUGGGGAAGACUGAGCAGGUGGGGAAGACUGAGCAGGUGGGGAAGACUGAGCAGGUGGGGAAGACGGAGCAGGUGGGUGCAGGUGGGGAAGACUGAGCAGGUGGGUGCAGGUAUGGAAGACGGUGCAGGUGGGGAAGACGGAGCAGGUGGGUGCAGGUGGGGAUGACGUUGCAGGUGGGGAUGACGUUGCAGG